UAUAAAAAGGCGUGUAACUGGUAUAUAAACAAACUUAAUAUUUCCAAACACACGUGUUUCCCUGAUCGAUCAAACACCAAAACACAAGGUGAACAAUUACAUCCCUUGCAGAAUGAAAAUAUUGAAGAUGCUGUGUGCGAUAUUCAUGCUGCUAAUGACAGUUUUAGCAGGAAAAGUCAGUGGAAAGCCACCAGCUGGAGGGCUUAAAUUUGACAGAAUACGACCACCCAGAGGAGGGCUUCGUUUUAACAGAGUUAAAAGAGAUAUUAAUGGCCACCAUUUAGAUAGAACCUUGGGACUACUGCUGAAAAAAGAUUAGAUGGUCUAGAUCUUUGGCACCACAAACUGAAUAUUUCAUCAUUGAAACUGAAUUAAAUAGAUAUUGAUUUUGUA